GGACACUACUCUGGAGAGAUCCCGGCCUAUCCGGGACGCCGAAGGGAUAACGAUCUCAGGCGCAAAGGACAGAGGGGGCAUC
rnacentral:ncRNA from 2 species